UUAGAGAAGAUGAAGCCAGGGCAAGGAGGAGGCUUGCUAGCGCCCCCCGCCCGACAUUCCUAUGAGGCCCAGCUGCCCAUCUGCUAGUGCUCGUCUCCUCCUCCUCACCCCAACGCACUGUUCAUUUAUCCUUCUGUGAGGGUGUUCAUUUCCCCUGGUUGGUACCUCUCUCCUCUAGCAGGUGGCUCCUCUCAGUCCCAGCUGCAGGAGAGCUCUGUGGACCCUUCUUAUUCGAGGGAGCAAGAAACCGAGGGACUCUUCUAGAAGCCAUGAUCUACCGCAUCUUUCUGCCUCUCACCUUUAGAGCUAAUCCUCCUCCCUCCUCCUGAACUGGGGUGAAGAUCAAGCCCAGAGGAACUCUGCAAGGCUGCAUGAAGAGGUUUCAAGCUGUCAGGUUGUGACACCCAUAAUUUCACCCCAAAGCCAGACACACUCUCCAUGAAAAUCAGGAGCAGGGAACAGGACACCAGCUCCCACUCGGUCAUGAUUAACCUUUUAAAAUUUAGGAUGGAGACCUAUUGUGUAGCACAUGGAACUCUGCUCAACGUUAUGUGCCAGCC